UAGGGAAUCUUCCACAAUGGGCGAAAGCCUGAUGGAGCAACGCCGCGUGAGUGAAGAAGGGUUUCGGCUCGUAAAGCUCUGUUGUUAAAGAAGAACGUGGGUAAGAGUAACUGUUUACCCAGUGACGGUAUUUAACCAGAAAGCCACGGCUAACUACGUGCUAG
rnacentral:rRNA from 1 species